GUUACCCAUCAAGUGCUGAAAAGCUUGUCACUACUUUCACAUCUUUGCUGGGUCGGAUUAAAGGAAAAGGAGAUGGAUUUCAGUGGAGAUGAACAUCAGGCAGGUCGUGGAUAUCGAAAGGGACUUCCACAAUCUUUGAGUACCCAUGCUUCUUGAAUAUGCCAACCUGGAGCCAUAUUGCAUCCCUCUGCAGCAGUUUUGAGACCGCAUCAAAGACUAGACCACAGCCAAUCUACACUGAGAGUUUGAAGAGCACAACACGACAAUACAUCAUUGCAAGGAUUGACAGAAUGACCAUUUCUGUGGAUGAGGGCCUGACUGUCAUACUUCGGCUGCUGCUACUGUGUAGGGAAACGAGGAGACAGGGAAUUCCACAAAAACCAUCUUUAUUAUCCCAGUAAAGAGUUCCAUACAGGUAGAUGCACACAUAGCAGGGGGAACAGACAUGUAACAGCAGACAGAAAACAAGGGGCAGAACACACUAUAAAUAGACAGAACUAACGAGGGGAAAAAGAGACACACCUGGAAUCAAAUCAAACACGGCUGUGACUAAAUAACUAAUAAUGAACUAAACGAGGACAGGAACAGGAAGACCAAAUAAGGGCGGAAAUGAGGGAGGAAAAACACAGGACACAGGGACACAAGUCGGACACUGACGUGCUGUGGAUAAGAUAUUCUAGGUGUGAAACUUCUGUCCACCACAGAUUAGUUCUGUCUUCACUUUCUAAGACUGGGACAUCUAAUAUUGAAACAAAACAUUCUCUUCCUUUUAAAACUAACAUUACUGUGUUGCCUCUUUUGUGGCCCAAAUGUAUUCUUCAUCAAAUACAACUAUAGUGGAUGUAACAAGAAGUAUUACUUCACAAUUAGUACACACUUACAAUUUUACCAUAUUUGCAAGAGUGAUUGUCAUUGAGAACAAUUUCAAAAUAUGUGCCUGAAUGUUUGUCUGAACUAAAAUGUUUAUAUUUAUAUGUAUCAAAAAGUAUCUGACUUUCUUAUGAGAUUAAGUCGAUCUUAUUUUAUGAGAAAUGUUAUCCUCUGGUCUUGUUUCUGUUAACCGUAAGUGUAAUAGAUGUCGGCAACACUUUUUUAAUGAAUUCUGUGGUUAAUAGCUAGUGCAUUACAAAUGCUUUUGUAUUAUGAAGAAAAAUGACAAACAUACUAUAGAUUUUUCAAAUUAACUGUCAUUGACCAAUUUAAAAUGUUUAUUUGUUCUCUGAUUUGGAAAGUUUUAUCUUGUAUCUGACAUUUUAUGUUAUAAGUUGAUCUUAUGUUAUGAGAAAUGUUAUCCGAUAGUCUUGACUGUGUAUGAUUUUCAAUCAUCCAAGGUGUAGUUGAUGUUGGUAACACUUUUUAAUGUAUACUGUAUUGUAGCUAAUAGUUGUAGUGCAUUACAAGGCGUUUGUGUCAUCUAAUCAUCUAAAUUAAGUUUAUGAAAUUGAAAUUUAUAACAUUUUGUUGUGCCUCUGUGCAUGCGUUGUUCUCUACCCUGACAACAUUUGACAAAUUAAAUCGCUAACAGUUUUACAUCUGUCUGUUUUAUUUCAGUUUUGUAGAAUUACAAAUUGAU